rnacentral:rRNA from 1 species
AUUGAACGCUGGCGGCAGGCUUAACACAUGCAAGUCGAACGGUAACAUGAAGAAGCUUGCUUCUUUGAUGACGAGUGGCGGACGGGUGAGUAAUGCUUGGGAAUCUAGCUUAUGGAGGGGGAUAACUACGGGAAACUGUAGCUAAUACCGCGUAGUAUCGAGAGAUGAAAGUGUGGGACCUUCGGGCCACAUGCCAUAGGAUGAGCCCAAGUGGGAUUAGGUAGUUGGUGAGGUAAAGGCUCACCAAGCCGACGAUCUCUAGCUGGUCUGAGAGGAUGACCAGCCACACUGGGACUGAGACACGGCCCAGACUCCUACGGGAGGCAGCAGUGGGGAAUAUUGCGCAAUGGGGGCAACCCUGACGCAGCCAUGCCGCGUGAAUGAAGAAGGCCUUCGGGUUGUAAAGUUCUUUCGGUAGCGAGGAAGGCAUUUAGUUUAAUAAACU